rnacentral:rRNA from 1 species
UACGGGGGGGCAAGCGUUGUUCGGAAUUACUGGGCGUAAAGGGCGCGUAGGCGGCCUGCUAAGUCGAACGUGAAAUCCCUGGGCUCAACCCGGGAACUGCGUCCGAUACUGGCAGGCUUGAAUCCGGGAGAGGGAUGCGGAAUUCCAGGUGUAGCGGUGAAAUGCGCAGAUAUCAGGAGGAACACCGGUGGCGAAGGCGGUUCUCUGGGCAUGAUCUGACGCUGAGGAGCGAAAGUGUGGGGAGCGAACAGG